UACGUAGGGGGCAAGCGUUGUCCGGAAUUAUUGGGCGUAAAGCGCGUGUAGGCGGCCAGAUAAGUCCGCUGUGAAAUCUCGAGGCUCAACUUCGAGCUGUCGGUGGAAACUGUCUGGCUAGAGUCCGGAAGAGGAGAAUGGAAUUCCUGGUGUAGCGGUGAAAUGCGCAGAUAUCAGGAAGAACACCAAUGGCGAAGGCAGCUCGCUGGGACGUGACUGACGCUGAGACGCGAAAGCGUGGGGAGCAAACAGG
rnacentral:rRNA from 1 species